rnacentral:misc_RNA from 1 species
GUUAUGGUCUGAUGCUCAGCAAUUUUCCAAUGCCUAGAUACAUUUACAAGUAAGAUUUGUCAAAUAUUUUGCAUCUUACACUGCUCCUAGCAUCUGUCAGAUUCAGAUGUAUCCCAAGGAAAUGGCUUAUAAGAACUAGAAGAUGAUAUCUAGCUUUAGUAUGUGAUUCAAGUAAGGAGGCAACAAAUUAUGCUGUGCAAGUAACGGAAAGAAAUAAAUAAUUGCAAUAUUUGAAACCUAACUUUUGUUUUCGUGUCAAUUUUUAUUGUGAUAACUUUAUCAUAUGUUGGAGGGUUUGCUAUUUUUCUAAUUUUCACUUCUAAUGUUGACCAUCUAACAGCAGUUGUAAAUUUCCAGUCCCAUCCCAUCUGCUUCCAUAGUCUCAAAAGCUCCUUGUAGGAUUUGUAACACUUUAUCAAGAUCAAUGUACAACAAGCCAAGGAAAAUAAUUAUAAGAAAACAAUGCCCUAACUGAAUAUGGGAUUUGAUUGCAAGGUCUCUGUUGUGAGACCAAAAGAUCACCAACUAGGCUAGAGUUGGGACCUUCACUUCAUUUUAUUCACUGCUAUGAACUAUUUCCUUUAAGA